rnacentral:rRNA from 1 species
GAUGAACGCUGACAGAAUGCUUAACACAUGCAGGUCAACUUGAAUUUGGGUUUUUAACUUAGGUUUGGGUGGCGGACGGGUGAGUAACGCGUAAAGAACUUGCCUCACAGCUAGGGACAACAUUUGGAAACGAAUGCUAAUACCUAAUAUUAUGAUAAUAGGGCAUCCUAUAAUUAUGAAAGCUAUAAGCGCUGUGAGAGAGCUUUGCGUCCCAUUAGCUAGUUGGAGAGGUAACGGCUCACCAAGGCGAUGAUGGGUAGCCGGUCUGAGAGGGUGAUCGGCCACAAGGGGAAUGAGACACGGCCCUUACUCCUACGGGAGGCAGCAGUGGGGAAUAUUGGACAAUGGACCGAGAGUCUGAUCCAGCAAUUCUGUGUGCACGAUGAAGUUUUUCGGAAUGUAAAGUGCUUUCAGUUGGGAAGAAACAAAUGACGGUACCAACAGAAGAAGUGACGGCUAAAUACGUG